UACGGGGGGGGCAAGCGUUGUUCGGAAUUACUGGGCGUAAAGGGCUUGUAGGUGGCCAACUAAGUCAGACGUGAAAUCCCACGGCUUAACCGGGGAACUGCGUCUGAUACUGGAUGGCUUGAGUGUGGGAGAGGGAUGCGGAAUUCCAGGUGUAGCGGUGAAAUGCGUGAGAUAUCUGGAGGAACACCGGUGGCGAAGGCGGCAUCCUGGACCAUGACUGACACUGAAAAGCGAAAGCCAGGGGAGCAAACGGG
rnacentral:rRNA from 1 species